rnacentral:rRNA from 1 species
UACAGAGGGUGCAAGCGUUAAUCGGACUUACUGGGCGUAAAGGGUGCGUAGGUGGUUUUAUAAGUUAGCUGUGAAAGGCCUGGGCUUAACCUAGGAAUGGCAGUUAAAACUGUAAGACUAGAGUUGAGUAGAGGGGAGCGGAAUUUCCGGUGUAGCGGUGAAAUGCGUAGAUAUCGGAAGGAACACCUGUUGCGAAGGCGGCUCUCUGGACUCAAACUGACGCUGAGGCACGAAAGCGUGGGUAGCGAAC